GGCGGGGGCUGUCGUAUUUGAUGAAUGGGCAACCGGAGCUCGCUCUCCGGGAUGCCAUGCAAGCCCAGGUAUGCAUGCCCGAGUGGCCGACUGCUUUCUACCUGCAAGCUCUCGCCCUAUCAAAACUUGGAAUGGAAACCGAUGCCCAGGAUAUGCUUAACGACGGGGCUGCCUUUGAAGUGAAGAAGCAGAACAGUUGGCGUGGCUAAAAUUUUACCAGAUUUCAGUUACUGUAUGUC
rnacentral:misc_RNA from 1 species